ensembl:piRNA 21ur-15380 ncRNA
UACCUGAAAUACCUGAAAAUG